UACAGAGGGGGCAAGCGUUGCUCGGAAUACUGGGCGUAAAGCGUGCGCAGGCGGUUGUGUAAGACAGAUGUGAAAUCCCCGGGCUCAACCUGGGAACUGCAUUUGUGACUGCACGGCUCGAGUGCGGCAGAGGGGGAUGGAAUUCCGCGUGUAGCAGUGAAAUGCGUAGAUAUGCGGAGGAACACCGAUGGCGAAGGCAAUCCCCUGGGCCUGCACUGACGCUCAUGCACGAAAGCGUGGGGAGCAAACAGG
rnacentral:rRNA from 1 species